GGUGAAAUGGCUGAGCUUAGGCGAUAAACUGUAAAUUUAUUUACGAAAUAUGAAUUUCUUUCACCA
rnacentral:tRNA from 1 species